rnacentral:rRNA from 1 species
AGUGAACGCUGGCGGUAGGCCUAACACAUGCAAGUCGAACGGCAGCACAGUAAGAGCUUGCUCUUACGGGUGGCGAGUGGCGGACGGGUGAGGAAUACAUCGGAAUCUACUCUUUCGUGGGGGAUAACGUAGGGAAACUUACGCUAAUACCGCAUAUGUCCUACGGGUGAGAGCAGGGGAUCUUCGGACCUUGCGCGAUUGAAUGAGCCGAUGUCGGAUUAGCUAGUUGGCGGGGUAAAGGCCCACCAAGGCGACGAUCCGUAGCUGGUCUGAGAGGAUGAUCAGCCACACUGGAACUGAGACACGGUCCAGACUCCUACGGGAGGCAGCAGUGGGGAAUAUUGGACAAUGGGCGCAAGCCUGAUCCAGCCAUACCGCGUGAGUGAAGAAGGCCUUCGGGUUGUAAAGUCCUUUUGUUGGGAAAGAAAAGCAGCAGGUUAAUCCCCCGCUGUUCUGACGGUACCCAAAGAAUAAGCACCGGCUAACUUCGUG